AUGGGGCUGAGGGACAUCGAGAUGACGCUGCCGCCGGGGUUCCGCUUCUACCCGAGCGAUGAGGAGCUGGUGUGCCACUACCUGCACGGCAAGGUGGCCAACCGGCGCCUCUCCGGAGGAGCCGCCGGGACCAUGGUGGAGGUCGAUCUGCACGUCCACGAGCCAUGGGAGCUGCCAGACGUGGCGAAGCUGAGCACGAACGAGUGGUACUUCUUCAGCUUCCGCGACCGCAAGUACGCGACGGGGCUGCGCACGAACCGCGCCACCAGGUCAGGCUACUGGAAGGCCACCGGCAAGGACCGUGUCAUCCGCAGCCCGAGGUCGUCAUCAUCCCGCUCGGGCCGCACCGCCAUCGUCGGCAUGCGCAAGACUCUCGUCUUCUACCGCGGCCGUGCCCCUAACGGCAGCAAGACCUGCUGGGUCAUGCACGAGUUUCGCAUCGAGAACCCUCACUCCCCACCCAAGGAGGACUGGGUGUUGUGCAGAGUUUUCCACAAGAAGAAAGCCGACACGGAGUACACUAUGGACGGCGAGCAGGAGAUCGGCAGCGGCAUGGCUCGCAGCGCUGCUGCCGUGAGUGGAUCCUGCCACGAUCCGGAUCAGUACCACCACUCGCCUCCGGCGGCGCUGUUCCCCUCCCUCGGCGCAGGCGGUCACCCUUACCAGCUCACGUCCUGUGAUCAUCACCAUACCCACGGCGCCGCCGGCGUCUCGCUCACUGACGUGGACCCCUUCGUGGACAUGCCACAGCUGCUGAGCUACGACAGCAUCCUCGACUUCAACCAGCAACUUCAGGGCGGUGGCGCAGCGGCGGGUUUGAGAGACGGCGCCGGGGAUCAGUGUGGCGGGGAGCUGAUGGACCUAGGGCUCCAGGUGCAGGAGGAGCACUACAACUACAACAGCUUGAUGUAG
rnacentral:rRNA from 1 species